GUACUUGCGAUUCUCACCACCAUUGAUGCAGAAUGCUGAAAUCAAACGGAAGUACAAAGGGCGGGACUUCCGUCGCGCAAGGCGGAGGAAUUUAAACGGGACACAGGAAGAGAAAAUAUUGUUUCCCUUUUUUUUUAGCUUAGCAUCUCGUGCAAACUAAUCCUACUUUUUUCAGAAAUAUUACUUCCAAUGACAAAAUUGGGUUAAUGUGAGAAGACCUUUUCGGCAUACUUUGCUAGCGCCAGCGUCUUGUUACUGAAGCUCAACAGAACCUACAGAAUCUACCUGUGAAUCCAGUCUAAAUUCCUGUCAAUCAUGAGGUCCUUGGCUGUAGCUGUAAUGCUGUGUGCACUGCUGCCACUGUUCCAUGCUGGCUGCUGGUUUGAACAAGCUAAACCAGGCAUGAGGCAGUGUCUUUACGACAAGGAUGGGACGUUGCAUGAUAUCGGGUCCCGCUGGAAGACCAGUGAUUGCAUGAACUGCUAUUGUCAAGCCAACGGGGACAUGCAAUGCUGUCAGGCGUAUUCUGAGCCCACAAGAUUUCCUGAUGAUUGCAUGAUGGAGUUUGACCAAAAGGCAUGUAAAUACAACGUGUUCAAGAAGACCGACCGCUCCACCUCAUGCCCCAUCUACGGCGGUAAGGGGAAGUGAUGGCUUUUCUUCCCCCGUGCUCUCAGGGAAUGAAGAAUGAAAGGGAAAAGUACAGUAUUUGUUUUAUAGAUUUAAUUGACAUAAUUGUUAGCUUAGCUCAGCCAUACUGUCGGGUAACUUUCUGUUACUGUAACGAUUGAAAAGCCAUACUGUAAUGUGUAUCAUUGAAGAUCUGUUAUCAUCUGCUCUGACUGUGUCAUGAGAAGAACCUGGGUUCAAAUACUAUCUGAACCUGUGAGCGUUUGAUCUGUCCUGCCUGGAGUGCCAGAUGGGCGGAGUUUGCUAUUUUGGGGCAAUUCUAUUGGUUCACAAAGCCAGUGUUUCCUGACCCUGGACCUCAAGUACCCCCAACAGUACAAAUGUUUACUGUAAACCUGGACAAGCACACUUGAUUCAACUUGUUAACUAAUCAUAAAGCCUUCAAUGAGUUGACUGAGUUGUUUGUCCAGGGCUAAAGUUUAAAAUGUGUUAUGUUGGGGGUACUGGAGGACCAGGGUUGGGCUGUUGGGGGUACUGGAGGACCAGGGUUGGGCUGUUGGGGGUACUGGAGGACCAGGGUUGGGCUGUUGGGGGUACUGGAGGACCAGGGUUGGGCUGUUGGGGGUACUGGAGGACCAGGGUUGGGCGUACUGGAGGACCAGGGUUGGGCUGUUGGGCGUACUGGAGGACCAGGGUUGGGCUGUUGGGCGUACUGGAGGACCAGGGUUGGGAAACACUGCAUUUAGCCAUGCAAGCUCAAUCAAUCAAGAUAAAGUAUUUGAAAUUAUUUCAAAUAUUAUUUGAACCCAGGUCUGUUAAAGACACACAAGCUGCAUAAUGUACAUGAGGUGUUGAUAUAUAACCUUGAAUAAUAAUACUGUUUAUCAAUGCUUUCUUAUUAGUCCAUAGCCAUAAAGGUGGAUAUUGAUAUGCUGUUUCUCCUGUGGUUCCCGACCCACAAUGCAGUUGCUUUGGAUACAUUUAUACAUACAUUCAUUUAAUGUCAAUAAAUCUAUGCAAUCAAG